CGGACGGGUGAGUAAUGUCUGGGAAACUGCCUGGUGGAGGGGGAUAACUACUGGAAACGGUAGCUAAUACCGCAUAACGUCGCAAGACCAAAGAGGGGGACCUUAGGGCCUCUUGCCAUCGGAUGUGCCCAGAUGGGAUUAGCUAGUAGGUGGGGUAACGGCUCACCUAGGCGACGAUCCCUAGCUGGUCUGAGAGGAUGACCAGCCACACUGGAACUGAGACACGGUCCAG
rnacentral:rRNA from 1 species